rnacentral:tRNA from 1 species
GACGCUUUGGUGGAGUGGUUAACACGUAUCCCUGCUAUUACGUCGGCAUUUCGUUACACGAUUGUUAGGAUAUCCUCUUUGAGGGCGUGAGUUCGAAUCUCACAGGCGUCG